GACGAACGCUGGCGGCGUGCUUAACACAUGCAAGUCGAACGAUGAAGCCGGAGCUUGCUCUGGUGAAUUAGUGGCGAACGGGUGAGUAACACGUGAGUAACCUGCCCUUGACUCUGGGAUAACUGCGGGAAACUGUAGCUAAUACCGGAUACGACCCUCGGAGGCAUCUCCUGGGGGUGGAAAGAAUUUCGGCCAAGGAUGGACUCGCGGCCUAUCUGCUAGUUGGUGGGGUAAAGGCUCACCAAGGCGACGACGGGUAGCCGGCCUGAGAGGGUGACCGGCCACACUGGGACUGAGACACGGCCCAGACUCCUACGGGAGGCAGCAGUGGGGAAUAUUGCACAAUGGGCGCAAGCCUGAUGCAGCAACGCCGCGUGAGGGAUGACGGCUCUCGGGUUGUAAACCUCUUUUAGCAGGGAAGAAGCGAAAGUGACGGUACCUGCAGAAAAAGCACCGGCUAACUACGUGCCAGCCGCCGCAGUAA
rnacentral:rRNA from 1 species